rnacentral:rRNA from 1 species
AACCGGAUUAGAUACCCUUUAGUCACGCCGUAAAGAUGUCGAACUGGAGGUUUGUUCCCCUUGAGGAGUGGCUUCCGGAGCUAACGCGUUAAGUCGACCGCCUGGGGAGUACGGCCGCAAGGUUAAAACUCAAAUGAAUUGACGGGGCCCGCACAAGCGGUGGAGCAUGUGGUUUAAUUCGAUGCAACGCGAAGAACCUUACCUACUCUUGACAUCCAGCGAACUUUCCAGAGAUGGAUUGGUGCCUUCGGGAACGCUGAGACAGGUGCUGCAUGGCUGUCGUCAGCUCGUGUUGUGAAAUGUUGGGUUAAGUCCCGCAACGAGCGCAACCCUUAUCCUUUGUUGCCAGCGAUUCGGUCGGGAACUCAAAGGAGACUGCCGGUGAUAAACCGGAGGAAGGUGGGGAUGACGUCAAGUCAUCAUGGCCCUUACGAGUAGGGCUACACACGUGCUACAAUGGCGCAUACAAAGAGAAGCGACCUCGCGAGAGCAAGCGGACCUCACAAAGUGCGUCGUAGUCCGGAUCGGAGUCUGCAACUCGACUCCGUGAAGUCGGAAUCGCUAGUAAUCGUGGAUCAGAAUGCCACGU